GAAGAACUUAGAAACCCACCCGUGGGUAGCCCAAGUGGUAAGAGUGAACUUAUGUGCAUGAGCCCCAUGUCACAGGUUCGAUUCCUUCUAGGAUCAAAUUGUGAUUUAAGUGGGAGUUCAUGGGAGGCCUGAGUUGUUGUGUUAGUCUCCCCGAGCAUUUAGGUUCCAUGCAUGAGUCCUAAGGGCUCUGCCGUGAGGUGGUCCCCCAUCAUAAAAAAAAAAGGUAAGAAGAAGAGCUUAGAAGGGAAGAAAAGCACAAA